AGGCGUAUCGUGUCACCAACGUUGAAGCUGAUCUCACCCUCACGUCUACUCUGGUGGGCCUCGACCGACACGAAGUUGUGUGCGUUCUGCCCGUGGACGUAAUAUGUGCUGUCGAGAGAUUUGAACCACUCUGAGGCAUCUCCAUGUAGCGGCUGCAUCAGCUCGUAUGCCGCUCUACAGACCUGCGGACGAGACAUCAGCAAGCAUUAGGGGAGGUCGUUUCAACUAGAGAUGUGAUGCCUACCGGGUUUGAUAGAUUCGACAGUGUGCAUACAGUACUUGUCAGGAUAAUAAAACAAAUAAUUGGAUAAGGAAAGUAAUACCUACAUUAGAUGAGAGGGUACAGACGAGAUAAUCACAUCGCGACAGCAGGAACGUCUGCAACAUGGCGCUUGGUCUUGUCACGUAGGUCACAAACUGACCGACCCACCAAGCCGGAGGGUCACCGUGAAUACGUGUCAAACGGUCAGCGAGGUCUUCCGGUAUUGCUAGCGGUAAAAAACGUGGGCGCGAAGACAAUUGAAAUAACUGCGGAAGCUCGAUGACUUGCGAACUAUCCGUCGUAGAAUUCGCUGCAAAAAUGCCAUAACUGUACAUACGUCCCCAUUGCGAUGCAACAACCGGACCGCCGGUCCAGCGGCACGUCUUGCUGAUUGGCAGGAAUAAAGACUCCCAGCCCUUGGCCGAGUAUGCCCAUCCCUCCCCCUUCAGGAUGAGCGUGCGCUGGGUAGCGUACGCCAUGAUCAGGCAGAAGGUCACAUGAUGCAGCUGACAUCCAUAUCCACAUCCAUUAGUUAACAGUUUGCAGAAAAUUUUCUUGGCCUUGUCACAAUCCGAAGGAUUCUGUGGAGAAAAUAGUUAAAGCCAUAUUAUUCUUAGGUUCGCAAUCAAUAUAUUGCGUGUUCUGAGACUUUUUGGUGCUAAUUGGGCAAGCGUCAUAAUGAUAAAACUAAUUAGAAAUGACGUCGCUAAUCUUGCGCUUAAUGUUUUGUAAAUUGCCUUACGUUUUUCUUAUUUAAGUCAUAUAAACAUCGGCAAAAACUGGUCAGUUAAAGUAUUUUCUAUCAAACAAUAGUUGAUUUUGACCUUUUAUUUCCAAUGAGAUGACCUAUUAUUCCCCUUUCACCAAAUUUGGCCAUAUAUAUUGCAAUUGCACACACAAUUAUUUAACACAUGUUCAUAUCGAUUUUAGUUUGAUGCUAAUAAUAGUAUUUGGAGUCUUUGAACAAGGUAAGUGUUAUUCUUUUAAUCAAUUUGACUUUUUAUGGUUAAAUGUCCUAAAUAAUUACAAAAAUAACAUAUUUACUUAGCCUCUCUGCUUAAUGUAUGUGCUAUAAGAGGAAGAAUUAGCACACUGUGAACAAGGAACUAUUGAUGUCUAUCCCACUUCCAGAUGUAAGAAUGCAAACAAUAAGCUCGUAUUACACAUAGUUGAUGUAACAUUUUGUAGAUUUAAGGUAGAAACCGCGUAAAGAGCACGGAAUUUUCCGUACAAUUUCGUAAGAUUUUCGUUGUAACUCGAAAAUGUCCGUUUGAGUCGGGAAUUUGAAUAUUUUUUUAUCAAAUACAAUUAUUUUCUCGCAUAUAGACUUUCUUUAUAUCGGAUUUUGAUACAUAAAAUUAAUUUACCAUAAAAUAGAAAGUUUUCCGUUUUUUGGUAAUUAUUAUUGGGAAUUCCUAGGAAACCCUCCAAGAGAGAUCACUCUACUCUCAAAACCAUAACAAAAACAAACAACAAUGAAUGGUAACAAAAAAAAGACGUUUGAAAUCCAAAUCUUAGAGAAAGGUUUCUGUUAAUCACAGGAAUGUGUUAGUUGAGCAUAAUUACAGUCCCGUCUUGAAUAUAUGAAAGUGCACAGAAGGUAAUUGUCCCGUUUUUAGCCAUAGAAAACAAAACGACAACUGGCAUGGACGUCGGAUUGUGGAAUUGGAUAUUUUAUUGAAGAGCAUCCAGUCCUGUCAGUCAUGUAUACUAGGACCCGUGCCACUAACAUUUGACAAUGUUGAGGAUGAACUAUAGAGAUGCUUCGGGGGCUACUUGUAUGUUGUGUAUUUACAUUUUGAAUGUGGUGCUGUUAACAGAGUACCAUAUGGAACAACACACCAUAUCAAAUCCAGAGGGAUGCCCUGUUUUGCAGUCAAUACAAAGCUUGGGAUAGCAAUGAUUGAUGGAUUGGGUGGUGCUGUAAAGGUCAACAAUUUCCUGUCAGCCCUGGACAUGAAAGAUAUCCAUCCAGAGAAUCUCAAACUGAUGGAAAACCGGGCUGGGGAAUUCAUUGAAGCUGUCGCCAAAGAGUCUGCAAAAGAUGCAGGUCAUGAGAAGAUGGCCUCCGAGACAUCUUCACUAUGACAAACUCUAAUGGAUUGGUCAACUGCGAGUUACUAGUAUGAAGAAAGUACUCGACAACGUUCUGCCAAAGCUUGCAGCUUUCUUUAUCACUGAAAAGUGUGUGAAAGUAACACAGCUGUUUAUUUAUGUGUGAUUUGUAAUAAUUAGUGCUAUCAAGCACAUCGUUGUUCAAUGCAUACAAAUUUAUCUUUUUUUUCUUGAAAUUUCUACAGAGUUGCAGCCCUUGAGCCAUCAAAUUUCUUGUAGAGUGCUGAUUUGUUAUUAGAUAUAUGAAAAGCAUAUAAAAUGGACACAUUUGUGCUUCAAUAUUUUUUAUUGUUCAUUUGUUUACAUUGCCAAAGUUACCUCCCUUUCUUUUGAAAAUACGCCUGGAAACAUACUAUAUAAUGUUUUCGAUUUGUUAAGCAUAGAUGCAAUAUUAAUAUUGUGAGCAAAAUUUUAGUGCCGGAACACACUUUCAUUGAAAAAAGUGCUUACAAAAUAUUCCAUAUAAUUUUUUUAUUCACAUUCUUUUAUGAAAAAAGGGGGGGGGGUCACCAUUGUAUAUCUCAAUUAUUUUUAGUUAGCUGUGGUGAACAUUGCCAUACACAGUAUAUUUUUCACAACUAAUGUUUACUUAUACUUUUUAAGUCAAGUAUAUUAGUGGGCAAUGAUAAUUUAUUGUCUUUUUUCAGAUUUAAAAGUUUGUCAUUUCCAUGUAUAAUGUAAAAUUUAUAGAAACAGAUUCUUCACAUUAUACAAUUCUUAGAUGUAUAUUAAAAAUAACAACACAUAUGUUGAUUAUCUUUAUUUAUUUUGUAGAUAUAUCAUUAUGGU